rnacentral:rRNA from 1 species
GCCGUGAGGUGUUAGUUUAAGUCCUGCAACGAGCGCAACCCCUGUCACUAGUUGCUAACAUUAAGUUGAGGACUCUAGUGAGACUGCCUACGCAAGUAGAGAGGAAGGUGGGGAUGACGUCAAAUCAUCACGGCCCUUACGUCUUGGGCCACACACGUGCUACAAUGGCCGGUACAGAGGGCAGCUACCUAGUGAUAGGAUGCAAAUCUCGAAAGCCGGUCUCAGUUCGGAUUGGAGUCUGCAACUCGACUCUAUGAAGCUGGAAUCGCUAGUAAUCGCGCAUCAGCCAUGGCGUGGUGAAUACGUUCCCGGGCCUUGUACACACCGCCCGUCAAGCCAUGGAAGCUGGGGGUACCUGAAGUCGGUGACCGUAAAAGGAGCUGCCUAGGGUAAAACUAGUAACUAGGGCUAAGUCGUAACAAGGUAGCCGUAA